rnacentral:hammerhead_ribozyme from 1 species
AUCCAGUUGAUGAGUCCCGCAUAGGACGAAACGCGCUCCCUGGAU